CCUCGCUGCCAGCAUGUGAAGAAGGAUGUGUUUGCUUCCCCUUCCACCAUGAUUGUUGAAAGCCUCCACAAUCAAGCUUUUAUUAAAGAACGAGUACUACCAUUGUGACCACAGAAGAUAGAAUUCGACACCAAGCUUUGAUAGCAGAAGGGAUCUACUCUUGAAAGUCCAAAAAAUGUUGUUGCUAUAGGAACAGACUCGGUGAACAAGACAUUUGAGAAGAGAAGGUCAAAGACCCAGCUGCACUUCUGCUUCACUGCUGAACUUCUGCUUCUUCCUAUCAGGGAAUACACUGCUCCUCACAUUAGGGAUUUCCUAAAAUUGUUAGGUGUUUUGAACAGAACUGGCUAUACCAAUGAGGCUCAAACAAGAAUCAUAAAGUGCAUGGUGCUUCUCUCCCUCUCUGUUUUCUUUAAAAAGAAAACAUUCUUGACAAGAUGAAUACAAUAUUUUCAUUCUAGCAAAUUUCUGCUGUCAGAGGUUAUAUUUACAGGAUAGAGAGAUUUCUCAAACAUGACCUUUUCUCGUGUAAUACCAGAGUGAAAUUUUAGAAAAGUCUGUGUGUGUGUGAUGCGUGCGUGUGUGUGUGUGUGUGUGUGUGUGUGUGUGUGUCUCGCAGGCUGAGAAGUGGGAUGGGAAGAAGGGAAUGUGGCUAGAAUCUUACCAUCUCAUUCUCUUCUCCUUCAUUGAGCAGAGCGUGCUGGCCCUUCUCAAAGUGUCCCAUGAAAAAGUUAUUCCACACCUCCUCCCUGACCUUGUCGUGCAGACGCUUCCAGGAUGAACUCCAACUCGCCGAGCCACCGCAGCUCCUCAGCUGACUAAAAGAGUUAAUGAUCCUCCAGGUUAAAACUCCUCCUUGAGCACACACCUUCUCUCAACAAAUGACAAUACUUGGCAAACUGAACUCCUCCCACGAGUCGCCCUCUGCUAGGAGGAAUUGCUGGCUGCUCCCUGCUUAUUGCAUUCUCUCAGAGCAGCUGUCUCAAAGGAGGCUGCUCCCAUGCCGAUCUUUUUGUGCCCAACUUACAGGGAAAGAACUCAUUGCCUGCCCAGUGCCUGCCAGCCUCAGACUUCUGACUGCAAAUCCAACAGGACAAUACAGAGUUGGCAGGACCCUUCUCAGGAGUGAGGAGCGGGUGCAAGAACUCCCAGGUCACUGCUUUAUUCAGAGGACCUAAGGAAUUGGGUUGAGCGGAAGCGCACAGAGCUGCAGAUUUUCUUUGAUGAAUGAAAGCUUCAAUCCACAGGUUUCUAAUAGUACUCUCAUUCAUUUUGCUUACAAAAGGUACAGAUUAUCACUAAUCCUCUUCAAAAGGUAUUUGUAAUCACAUUUCCUUGUAUAUGCAAAAAAAAUUCUAUUUAAAGUGUAUGUGAAAUUAAGUUUACUUUUUUGAAACACAUGUAGAAAAAGAACAAAGGUAUCAUCAAACUAGUCUAUGUAGUCUCCUUUCACUAAAAUAUUGAUGGUUCAACACUUAAGGAAGUCUAGAAAUAAAAUAUUCAAAUGACUAUAUGGCCAGACUCUUUUUUAAUUUGUUUACACAUUUAUUCAAUAAACAGUGCCUGAGCACAGGGACUACCUAAAAAAGUUAAGUCAUAUUUGCUACCCUCGUGUUGAUGUAAGGAUUCAAACAUCCAAACAAAUAUGAUAGAAAGUGGAUUGUUAUUAUAAGAGAUGGAACAGAAGUCUAAGAAAACUGUCAGAAGUCCCAAUGUGGUGUAGAGAAACACACCCCUACCCUAGCUCUGGCAAAAUACCUGUAUUCCAGCUGCUUGUCUGCACUGGCCUUGCUGUGUGAUCAUUUAACUAUAGGAACCGGCUCUUCUCAUCUGGUACCGCCCGACAGGACUUUUGAGAGAAUGGAAUGAGAUCAUUGUGAAAGUACAUUGUACAGCACUGAUCAAGUGCUGUUAGGAUUAUUAAACUAAAUGUGCAUUUGAACAGUAGGUGUUAGGACAUAGUGGCUAAGGGCAUAUACACUAAAUUUGGAAGGCCUGAGUUCAAAUUUGGACUGUACUAGGUGGUCGUUGUGCUACCUUGGGAUAUAACAAGUUAUACAAACUCCAUUCUCCUCUAUUUCCUCACAUGUAACAUAAAGAUGAUGAUAAUAGAACCUACGUCCUAAAACAGACUUUUAAGAAAGAGUGCCUGGGAAAUAAUAGGUGUUCCACAAAAGAUAGUUAUUUUUACCUUCACCAUGUCCACUGUCUGUCCCUCAAGCUACAUUGGCAAUGAUAUCUCCAACCUGACCCAAAUAACCCUAAUGUGACCAAGAUCAAUGUGUGCAUGUGUGUGUGUGUAUAUGUUGUAUGUGUAAAACCUUGAGCAAAUAGUGAAGUAUAGGAUAAACAUAAAAAGUAAGCUAAGUAAACCCAUUGUAAUAGUAAUUACAAAAUAUAUAUGUACGUGUGUGUGUAUGUGUGUGUGUGUGUGUAUAUAUAUAUGUAGUUCUCUUGGUUUCAAAAAUUUGCUAGCACAAUUUAACCAAAUAAAUGAAAAUAAAAUUAACAUUUUAUCACAAGGUCAAAAUAUAAGGAGUAAAGGGUUUAUGGGGGGGGUAAUAAAAAUGUUCUAGAACUACUGAUGGCUUCAAAAAUUUGUGAACAUACUAAACCUCACUGAACUCUAUACUUUAAAAGGGUGAAUUUUAUGAAAUGUGAAUUAUAUCUCAAUGAAGAGAUAUAACAAAUUUAAAAAUCAUACCUCAAUAAAAAAUUAUACCUCAAAAAAACCUAACUGAACAUUUAACAGCCUUACUAGGCAGUAAUUAUAUAUUUAGUACAGAAAAAAAUAUAAAACAAGCAUAUUCCAAAUUUCAUCUCAACUGAUGGAGGUUGAGGAGUGUUAGUAUGUGACGUGGUGAAACUAUAUCAGUGCUCCUGGGCAGGUGAGAAAGAAGUAAUUCAUUCUCCUGUUUAUCACUGGCAAUAUUUGCAGUUUCCUUUUGGCUGGGUUCCUGAAUGCACUUGGCAACUCUUGCACCGUUGUGGGAUUGAGAUGAGUGUGUAACUGAUUAACAGCUAGAGGAGAAACUGUACACAAACUUACCCCAUCAAAUAAAUCAGGUCAUGCUGCUACAAUAUUUAAGCUAAACUUGAACAGGAAAA
rnacentral:lncRNA from 1 species